GCAAACUUGGUCAUUUAGAGGAAGUAAAAGUCGUAACAAGGUUUCCGUAGGUGAACCUGCGGAAGGAUCAUUAACAAAUUACAACAAACUCGUGUUGCCUUCUUGGUCAGUCCUAUUCUGUGUGUGUGCAUCUACACGCAUGGGGUGGUGAUGGGUUAAGGAGGACGUUACACAUUUUACACAUCUUGAUGGACAACUUGAUUUAGUAGGCAAGCAAGCAAGUAGACAACACUCUUUUUGAGGUUGUGUGCGCAUGUGAUGCCGAAAUCUCUUUAAUCGAAACAACUUUUAACAAUGGAUCUCUUGGCUCUUGCAUCGAUGAAGAACGCAGC
rnacentral:misc_RNA from 1 species